rnacentral:tRNA from 1 species
GGGCGAGCUGGACCGGCGGCAGGCGCUCCGCCUGCUGGGCGCGGGCGGAGCGGCGGCCGCGCUGGCCUCGGGGUUGCUCCCGGGGCUCGCCCG